rnacentral:rRNA from 1 species
GAUGAACGCUGACAGAAUGCUUAACACAUGCAAGUCCACUUGAACUUCGGUUUGGGUGGCGGACGGGUGAGUAACGCGUAAAGAACUUGCCUCACAGUUAGGGACAACAUUUGGAAACGAAUGCUAAUACCUGAUAUUAUGAUUUUAGGGCAUCCUAGAAUUAUGACAGCUAUAUGCGCUGUGAGAGAGCUUUGCGUCCCAUUAGCUAGUUGGAGAGGUAACGGCUCACCAAGGCGAUGAUGGGUAGCCGGCCUGAGAGGGUGAACGGCCACAAGGGGACGGAGACACGGCCCUUACUCCUACGGGAGGCAGCAGUGGGGAAUAUUGGACAAUGGACCAAGAGUCUGAUCCAGCAAUUCUGUGUGCACGAUGAAGUUUUUCGGAAUGUAAAGUGCUUUCAGUUGGGAAGAAAAAAAUGACGAUACCAACAGAAGAAGUGACGGCUAAAUACGUG